rnacentral:lncRNA from 1 species
UGAAAAAUAUCAAUAUUAAUCCAAAAAAAUAAUUUUAAUUCAGAAAAUGAAAUAGAAAAAUAUUUAAAUUUUUUUGGUGAAAGUCCCAUAUUUUUUGGAUUAAUAAUGAAAUUGAUAUGAAUUAAUGAAAAUAAAUGGAUUAAACAUAAAAAUCAGAAAUUAAAAUAAAAUUAAAAAAAACAAGGGCCAUCAGAUCUCCCUCAUUAAUUGAGGUGGCAAAUCUGAUGGCCAAGCGCGCG